rnacentral:hammerhead_ribozyme from 1 species
AUUCAGCUGACGAAUCCCAAAUAGAACGAAACACGCGUCCUGGAU